ACUGAGGCAAGUUCCGAGGCCGCCGGCGGCGCGGGGUCUGAGGAGGUUUCUGGGCCGACUCGGCACGGCAGGGGCGAGCCCCAGGCCCAGACCCAGGUGAUGCCGGUGUCCCGGGCCCGGGGGCGACCCCCGAGGCCUGCUGGGGCUUGAGGCUGCGUGGCGCUGGCGCGGCCGGGGCGCGGAGCGGAGGCCGGGACUUGGAGGAAGGCCGGGGCGGGGAGCCGAGGUCGGGGCGGGUGCAGAGGUGGGGCGGGGCGGUAGGGUUCGGGUGGCUAAGGCAGCGGGCAGAGGCCUUCUCGCCCCCCUCUCCCCGACCUCGGCCUCCCGCCCUCUAACCCCUGCCUCCUUUCCCGGCCUCCGGCAACCUCCUGCGGGACGUAGGGAUACGCGCCCCCCAGGGCCUGCGGGUGUCCGCGGCUGUGGGCUGGGGCCACGUGACAGCCAUGCUGCCCUUGAACUGCUGCUUUUGUGGGCAUUGAUCGUGUCCACAGUGCACGUUGCCUGAUCUUCAUUCCGGGUGACUGUAGGGUCACUUCUCGCUCACAUGCUGUAUUUACAUAUCGUUAUUUUUUUGGCACUGGAGAUUGAGCCCAGGGGUGCUUAACGCCUGAGCCUCAUCGCCAGCCAUUUUUUGUUUUAUUUUGAGACAGGGUCUCGCCAAGUUGCCAAGGCUAUCCUCGAACUUGUGACCUCCUGGCUCAGCGUCCCGGGGUGCAGGGGUGCCAGGUGUGGGCCUUGCGCCUGGCUAGACUUUGUAUUUUUAAACACAGACCGGAAACCUAAGGAAAAAUAUGUUUUUAAAUUUCCAGAAAUAGUAGUAACCCAGUUGUGUUCCACUUAAUCAGGUGGUAGGUAGUUAAAUUCAAUUGUCUAGUGCUGUCACAGGAAAGUAUUCGAGUUGUCAUUUUUGAGCUUAGAUGUGAAGGCUCCAAGAGAAGAAUUGGAGGAGAUGUGACAGGUGUAACCUUGUGGGGAAAUGAGGUAUCCUUUGAGAGCUUCUCUAGUCUUAAAGUCUAUAAAUAUUCACUCUCUUUGCAGACAGAGGAGAUUUCUUGCUAAGUGGUAGCACUUUAUUGCCGUGUUUUGUUCAAUAAGAGGGCUAAAAUGUCUGAAACUGAAAGAGACAAAGGCACCUGGCACCUGUCUGUUAACUGGCCUCCACUAGUCCCAGAAUACUCUGUGUGCGGGGCUGUUACAAAUUGGAGAAUUUCUACAAUAGGAUCUUUGGGAUGGAUUCAUAAGUAUAUUUUCUGCUUUCAUUUUCGAACCAUUGGAGGAAUUCCUCUUUAAAAUAAAAAAGGCACUAAUCUAGGAAUUUUUGCUUGCCAUAGGAGGAGAGCUUGGGCAGCAUUAUCCCUUUUGAAGAUUUUCUUCCUUAGGACCAAAUUUUACCUCUGUUCUUCCAUUGCUUUUUCCUGGUUCUGAACAUGUUUGUGAACUUCUUUGUAUGCUAGUUUCAGCCCAUCUUAACUUUUUUUUUUUUUUUUAAACCUCUUUGAGGUGGAUUGAUUUCCCACUGAGAGGACUGAUCUUUUUCCUUUCUUUUUUUUUUUUCUUAUGGUAUAGUCAGGAUCAAAGAUUAUGGCUUGAUAUACUAAUGAAUGAGUGAGUGGUAGAGAAGGACUUAUAAAUUGCCAUAUCGUAGAAAAUUUUAAAUAUUUUUUUUAGUUGGAGAUGGACACACAAUAUCUUUAUUUAUUUGUAUUUGGUGCUGAGGAUCGAACCUUAUACAUGCCAGGCAAGUGCACUACCACUGAGCUCCAGCCCAGCGCAGUCCUUGAAACUCUUGUUUCUCAAACCGAUUGCCUAUUUUCUGAAAAAAAAAAUAACUGCUUCUUGUUCACUUAUUAGUAACAGAACCAUCUUUGUGUAUGCCUUUCAGUUCUCUCUGGUUUAUUUAUUUGUUUUUUGGUGGUACUGGGAAUUGAACCCUGGCAAAAGGUGGGCAAGCCCUCUACAACUGAGCUACAUUCCCAGUGCUUUUUAAAACAAUAUUUUUGAGAGAGGGUCUUUUUAAGUUGCCCAGGCUGAUCUUGGACUUGUGAUCACAUUGCCUUCACCUCUUAAAUCUCUGGAAUUAUGGGCCUGUGCCACCAGUUGGCUAGAUGUCUUUUCUUGAAUGACCAUGUCUUUCAAUCUUUCACAUUUUCAAUCACAACUUUAUGAGAAAAUACAUUUGUAAACUGUUGCUAAGGUAAUUUUGUAAGUUAUUCUGUAGUCAUCAUUUGUUCUGACGUCAUUUCUGUAUUAGGAGGAGUUGGGUGAUAUUUGUUAUCAUGAGGCUAAAACUAGGAAGAACUAGAGAACAGAAAACCAAGAGUUGUAGGAGUUUGGUCCCUGUGUUUUUUCUCCACUUACAGAUAAAUUGAACAUUGUCAGCUUGUGGAAAGCUGAAAAUCUGUGAUAUGUUCAUCCUUAUCUUUACCAUAAAGACCUGUUAAUGUCUCUUCAUUCAUUGCAUCUUAUCAGUGGUGUUACAUAUGAAGAGUUCUUCCUCACUAGGACUUUGUAAUGUAAGUCAAUCGCCAGGACUUGAAUGAGCAAGAGUAUUCAGUUAUAUGCUAAUGAUAUGGGAAGCUAGGAGUAAGUAUGCAUUUAGAGUAUAAGUAGGAACUCAGUACCUGUCAUUUAUAAAGUCCAUUUGGGAUCCACCUCAGACUUGCUUUUAGUGUUCCCUUUCUUUUCUGAAUAAGUGAAGUUAGCUGCCAUUUCUGGCUUUAUAAGCUGCCUUUUUUCUCUUACUGAGGUUCAUUAUACUGCAGUGUAAUUUUUCUGAGAUAUAAAUGAGUCACUUGAAUACUACUUCUAGUUUUGUGACAGUGGAAUUUCAUCCAAUGUGUAUUUUGUUCCACUAAGGAAGUAUCUUCGUAUCUUCUGUUAACUUUUCUGGAUUAAAGGUAGUCGCCCUGUCUCUGUUAUGGAUGAGCUACAUAAUUUAUAAUUAGAACAAAUGAAUCUAACUCACCUUCUCUUGAUUUUUUUUGGGGGGGAGGGGGUAUCAGCAAGAUAUUUAUCUGGAUGUUUUUCUUUACUUUUUUUCUACUUCAUGUCUAUGCAGGGACUUAAUAAGUAGGAUGCAAUGAAGAAUGUGAUGACUGUAGGUGACUUAGAACAGUUUUCUCAAACUCUUUAGUCUUAGGAUCCUUUUAUAGGCUCAAAAAAUUGUUGAGAAUUUCAGGAAGUUUCAUUUAUUUGGUAAUAUCUUUAAUACGUACUUUGAUAGUAAUUAAAAAAAUUUUUUGAAAUGUUUUUCAAUUAAAAUAAUAAACCCAGGGCUGGGCAUAUAGCUCAGUUGGUUGAGUGCUUGCCUUGCAUGCACAAGGCCCUGGGUUCAAUCCCUACCACCCAAAAAUAAAAGUAAAUAAAAUAAUAAACCUACUACAUUGUAAUAUUUGAUAUGAAAAAUAGCUAUUUUUAAAGCAAAACAUAAUAAGAAAAAUGGUAUUACUUUCCAUUUCUGCAAAUCUCUAGUGUCUGGCUUUAUAGAAGACAGCUGGAUUAUUGUAUCUGCUUCUGCAUUCAAUCUAUUGAAAUCAGUUGCCUUUAAAAAAAAUUGUUUUCUUUAGUUGUUGAUAGAACUCUAUUUUACUUAUUUUUAUGCAGUGCUAAAAAUUGAACCCAGGGUCUCACAUGUGCUAGGCAAGUGCUCUACCACUGAGCUGUGACCCCAGGCCAGAUAAGUUGCUUUGACUGAAGUUUAUGAAGAAAAUCCAGCUUCACACAGAUAUGUUGUUGGAAAAGAUAAGUGUUUUCAUAGCCUUUUCAGAUAACUGCUUUUUUUUUGACACUACCACAAACCUUGACACAGGGUUGGUUAUAAUGUGGCAUUUUAAACAGCAUCAAUGAACUUUUCUUGCUCUGGUAUGUUAACAUUUACGGUUUUUGUCCUGCACUAUGAAUGAAUCUUUCCUAUGCAUGCUUUUGCUACAGGGCCUGGACAGUUGGAAGAUACUGGUUCACUGAGUUAGGUAUAUCUUUCAAAUGUUGACACCCUUUAUUGUAUCAUAUUUGUUAACAUCACUGUGAAUCUUGUAAGAGAAAUCUAACUUGGGAAGUCUUUAUUCUCAUAGAGGCAGAUAUAAAUUAUCCAAAAUUCAUAGUUUUGUUUGAGAGCUUGAAUUUCAUUCUUGGCAACAAAUACUUUUCCUUGCAGUGAAAGGCUGUCUUCAUUCAUGUUUGAGAAAAAGUUUGCCAAACAAUGAAGUCUGAAUAAUUUGUCAGUUGUUUAACAAAAUAGUGUUGCAUAAUGAAAGCAGCUAGUUGGGCUUGCAAUUCAGAUGCGUAAGUAUCCCUUCUUGAGACAGUUACUUACCAUUCAUUCUUCCAGGUAUGAUAAAAUUAAGUGUAUUUCCCAUUUCAUCACACAGAAUGAAAAAGAUGUAUACUCAAGAAUUCAAUGUAAUAAAAUUAACGAUUUGUACUCUUUCACCAAGGACAUUCUUAAUUGAAAUUGCCCUUCCUUUCCUUUCUUUUUUACUGUGAUUGUGUGGCAGUGAAUGGACUGACUACAGUCUGGUGUGAUGCCUCUGCCCUGAUUUGUACUAAGAUGUCAGUGGUUUUGUUCACCUUCAGUGUAAAAGUUAAACAGUGUUAAAAUGAAAACAGCUUUGGACUCUUGGAGCCCUGAAAGGGUUGGUAGGAAUCCAAGGGUCUUCAGGCCCCAUUUUGAGAGUUGCUACUUCACUAGAACAUAAGCCCCUUGAGGGCAAGGACUUGGGUAUCUUGUUUACUGAUGUGCUCCUUAAAUCUGAGUCUGCCAUCUUCCUGGCUGUUUUCCCUGUCUUCAGUGUUAGAUCACUUGCAUUCUCAAUCUGCAUUGUCUUUGUUUAGUUUACCCUCUCCUUUUGGUGGAGCAUAUUGUUGAGUAAUUUCCUGAAGAAAGGUGAGUGUAAGGUGUAAUUUUGAGACUUUGUAUGUCAAAAAAAUGCCUUUAUUCUAAACUCAUACUGAACCAAUGAUUUGACUAGAUAAAGAUUCUAGGUUAAAACUUAUUUUCUUUUAUUGUUUUGUUGAGUUUCCAUUGUGGCUGUUAAAAGCCCAAUGCUUUUUAUUAUAUCUGCCCCUCCCUCAACCCCCACUCUUUUUCUGUUUGGAAAUUUCUGGUAUGUUCUCUGUUUCCUGGUGUCUGAAUUUUCUUUUUCUUUAUGUGGUGCUGGAGAGUGAACCCAGGGCCUCAUGCAUACUAAACAAGCCCUCUACCACUGAGCCACAUACAGCCUGGUAUAUGAAUUUUUUAUAAGAUAUGCCUUGUGUAUGUCUUUUUGAAAAAUUCAUUGUUUCAGGGACUUAGGGCAGUGCAUAGCUUUCAGUUCUGGGAAUUCUAUGGAUUUAGUUUUUGGAUAGUCUCUUUUCCCUGUUAUUUUUUAUGGACUGAAUAUCAGUUAGGUAUUGGACCUCACAGAUUGACCCCCCCCACCCUUUGUUUAUCAUUUAAGUCAAGUGUUCUGUGAAUGGUCUGCCUUCUGCCUAUUCUUGUUCACAGGGUCAUCUUAUAUGUUUCUGAGGAUAUUGAUUGUAAUUUUUGUUCUUGAAGUUUUUUUUUUCUUCACAGUCUUCUAUUUUCGUUUCUUCUUCCUUUUUUUUUUUUUUUUUUUGGUACUGGGGAUUAAACCUAUUGUUGCUUAACCACUGAGCCACAUCCCAAGCCCUUUUUAUUUUUUAUUUUGAGACAGGGUCUUGCUAAGUUUCUGAGGCUGGCUUUGAACGUGCAAUCCUCCUGCCUCAGCUUCCAGAACCACUAACCACUGCGAUUAUAGGUUUAUCCUAUAAUCUAGUUUUUGCUCAGCUUGUUUUUUGUCUUUUAUUUAUUUUUUAUUUUUGGUGCUGGGGAUUGAACCCUGGGCCUUGUACAAACUACUUAUACUUUCUAUCAUCAAGCUAUACUGCCAGCCUUUGUCUUUUAUAAUAAUGGUUUUCCUUACUUGUAUGGUUCUCUUUUGUUGUAUAUUCACUAAAAAGUUACAGAAAAAGAGUUUACAGAAAAAUCUUAAGGUUUGGACUUUGUAUCUGUGGGCUGUGUUAUAGAGUUAUUGAAUUAGGGCUUGGUAUUUUCUUCUGGGGUAUUUUCUUCCUUAUGCACUUAUGUAUCUUGAGUUAGGGAUUGCUGAGUUUUUGCAGAAAAGAAUGCUCUAGUUUUGCUCCCAGGAUGCCCUAGCUUCAGGGUUCUCAUCCAGGCUGCAGAGGGCUGUGGCUUUUCCCAUCAGGUGCAGGCUUUCCUGAGUAUAACUUUUUUAGUUUGGCAUCAUUCUGACCUUUUUACUGAGCCCUUUGACCUGUUGCUACAUUGGCCUCCUUCAAAAAACAAAGAAACAAAAAACAAAUAAACAAAACUGUCCUCAACUGCUGGAGUUUGGGGGAAGAGCAGUCACCUGGCUGGGUAGAAAAGGGAGGAAAUCUAGGGAGCUAUUUCUUUUACAGAAGUUGAGUCAGUUCCCCUGUUUUUAGCUUAAUGACUCAUUGUGCCUGUUGGGGUAUAUGGUGUCUCAAAUUCCCAUUCUUUCUAAAUCUUGCUAUGUGAAUUGGCUUUUUUCUUGUUGGAAUUCUCUGCAGUUGCUUGGUAUUCAGCUUUCUUAACUCUCAAUCCUCCAUCUGUUUUUCAUUUGCUAAAAAUUUGUUGACACGUCUUGUCUACUGUUCCUGUUGUUUUCUCUUCUAGUCUCUUUAUCCUUGUGAAUUUGUACUUUUUAAUUUCUUUAGUCUUAUUCCAGUUAUUUUUUAAAACAAGAUUGUAAGAAGGUAAUGCAAAGUUACCUUAAUUUAAACAGUUAUUCAUGGGUAAAGAAAGUUCUUGAGUUCCUAAAGGUGAAAACACAAAAAAAGAAAGGUAAAGCCAAGAAAUAAGAAAACUUAGAUUACUAUAACCUCUCAGUGGUGGUAAUAAUAAUGACUGAUAUUUGAAAAUAUGUACAUACAUACAUGGGUAUGUAGAUAUCAUGUGUAAUGUAUAUAUGGAUAUAUAUUAUGUAUAAAUGGAUAUGUACACAUGUUUAAAUAUAUGUAGAUAUAUGCUAGCUGGGUAUGGUGGCUCAUGCCUGUAAUGCCAGGGACUUAGAGGCUGAGGCAGGAGGAUUGCAUGUUCUAGACCAGCCUUAGCAAGUUAGUGAGAUUCUCAACAACUUAGUGAGACCUUGUCUCAAAAAAGAAAAGAAGAAGAAAAAAAAAAAAGGACUGGAGGUGUGGAGAUGUAGCUCAGUGAUAAGGUGUCCCUGGGUUUCUUAGUAAAAAAGAAAAAAGUAGGUAUAUACUUUAUGAAUGUCUGUACAUAUUUAUGAAUGUCUGUACAUAUUUAUGAAUGUAUGUACCUAUUUACAUUCUACAUAUGUCUAAUUUCAUAAUCAUGUCAUUUUAGAGCUGGAAAGGAUUACAGUGAUCUCUUAACUGAAAUCAGUUUCAUGUUUCAGCGAGGAAACGGGCUUAUUAGUGACUAAAAAUUUUAAAAUCAAGUUUUCUCAAUGUUUUGUUAAGUUGUAAACAGUAAGACCUCAGCUAACUUGAGGUUCAGAGCUACAUAUAAAAUUCUUAAUUGUGGCUCAAGGUAAAUAGCUUAAAGUUUUGAAUUAGUCCUAACAAGUAUUUCUAUUAGUAUUGCAUUGGGAUCAUGGAGGGCUGGCUCCUCUGAUGAUCUUGAGAACAAGUAGUAAUUUAAUACUUUACUUUGUUGUUUAAAGUAAUGACAUUUAACUUAUUUUGAAUACAUAUUGAAGGAAGAUGUGAACUUUUGUUUAUCUGAUCUAAACCAUUACAUAUAUGGAUCCUGCUUUUUUUUUUUUUUUUUUAAACCAGGGGUGCUUAAUGACUGAAACAUAUUCUCAGCCCUUUUUAUUUUUGGGACAGGGUCUCUCUUAAGUUGCGGAGGAUGGCUUUGAACUUGCCGUUCUCCUUGUGGGAUUAUAGGCAUGCACCACUGCGCCUGUCUGGAUCCUGCUAGAGAAUUAAAUUAAGACAGGUAAACUACUCAUUAGCUGAGUUAAUUACUAAGUACAAAAUUUUAGGUUCUAAUUUUGUUUUUUCUCUAUAUACUAAAUAUAUAAACAUUAAUUGUAUAGAAAUAGAUUUCAAAAAAGAAAAACAUGAAACAUUAUAUUUCAUCACUUAAAUAUUACCAAUUUUUAUUCUUAUUCAUAUGUACAUUUUCUUAUAGUCCACACAGAUGAAAUAAUGCAAAUCUUCAUGAAUAUAUCAUUCUCUAAAAUAUCUUCCAAAUAUAUUUCAAAAGUACAAUUCGGCUGGCUAUCAAACAGCCACUAACAUUUUAAAGGCUUUUUAUAAAUUGUUUAAUAUGAAGGAUUUCCUAAAUAUUGUGACGAGACAGAUAUAUGAUCGUUAUACACUUCUCAACUAACUGAAGUGUUAUUAAAGUGGUCGAAACCGUGUAGUCAAUUUUAAAGGAGUCUAAAGUGUUCACUUAACUAAUGUCACGUAAUCACUUCUGACUACUCCAGGUAAAUUUUUACAUCUUAAGAGUCUUUUUUUAAACUGACAUUCCAUGAGUUCAUAGAACAGAAGUCCCUUCCGUUUUUCAUCCCUCAUCCACCAGUCAAUGGUUUGUUACAGUAUAAAUUACUAUUUACGUUGAAUGUUAUAGUAUUUUAACUAUAUUACUUGACAAAAGUCCUAACUGAGAACUCUUUGUAAUCUUUUUUUAUACUCCUUUUAAAUAAAUAAAUAAACUAUACCCCCAAACUUGAUCCCCACGAAAUGGAGACUAGAUGUAGAGGUCUAGAUUAAUAAAUAAAUAAAAUUUCUGUUAAAUUUUUUUUAUACAUCAAAAAUCAAUAUCCACCUGUGUUACAGAAAUAAAAUGAAAUACACCACGACUUCUAACUUGCGUCACGGAGUACGUACGAUCCGCGUGGGAGAUGGAGACUCAGAGUUGGGGUCGAGUGAUAAAAAAUAAACCUCUAUCUCAGAACAAUUCAACGACUCCGACCGGAGCUUGAACACCAUGAGGACGGAGUCGGAGGGGUCAACAACUCUAACGUCCGUACAUGGUGGUACGGGUAGAUCACCACAAUACCAAACCUACACUCCAUAGGGGGUUCUCGAGUGGACCCUCUGUUACGUUCUUCCAAGUCUCUUGACUCACCCAAUGUUCUCGAAAAUGGACUUGUCACUUAAUUAGUGGACUACCCUAAUUAACUCGUCAUUGACUUCCGUCCACCCCACACCUAUCUCGUGCACCCUAUAAUGUACAUACCGAAACCCAAUAUAUAAACAUAGACCGUUCACUGUUAGAGAGACGAAGAACUAGUAGUACACUCGACGAAGGGAGACGGUUUGAGAAGGCGGACACUACCUCGACCGACAUAUAAUUGACUCUAGAGAUUGUGACACUCGGGAAUUUAUUUGAAAAGGAGGAGAUGUUAACAAGACCAACCCAAAAAUUCAGUGUCGUCGUUUUUUCGACUGUUCAUCGUCUAAACUUAACAAACUUUUAAUAUUUUCCUCAAGUAACUACAGGAUCUUCUAAUAUAAUCUGUAAAAAGAACACAGAACAAUUCUUCGGUACGUGUAAAUUUUAAAAAAGAGUUUAUACAGAAAUUUUUUUUUUACAAAGUAGGUGGAGUAAGGUGAUGCACAUCUGUAAUCCUAGCAUCUUGUGAGACUGAGGCCUUAGGCCUGCAAAUUUAAGGCCAGCCUAAGAAACUUAGCAAAUCCCCAUCUCAAAGUUAAAAAAAAGGACUAGGGAUGUGGCUAAACACCCCUGGAUUUAAUCCCAGGUACCAAUUUUUUUUUUUUUUUUAAAUAAAGUAUUCAUGGCACAAGCCUGUAGUCCCAGCUGCACAAGAGGCUGAGGUAGAAGGAUUGCUUGAGCCCAGGAGUUCAAGAACCAGCCUGGGCAACAUAGUGAGAACAUGUUUAAAAAUUUUGUUUUAUUUUUAAAGAGUUGUAUAAAAACUUGUAUGUUGAAUUUUGCUUAUUGUGCGCCUAUGUUAGAAAUAAUUUUCUUUGAAUUUAAGCUUAUAGAAAUGGGACGCCGGUCUUCAGAUACCGAAGAGGAGAGCAGAAGCAAGAGAAAAAAGAAACACCGUAGACGUUCAUCUUCAAGCAGUUCGUCAGACAGUAGAACUUAUAGCAGAAAGAAAGGAGGAAGGAAAUCAAGAUCAAAGUCAAGAUCAUGGUCGAGAGACCUUCAGCCACGCUCACAUUCUUAUGAUAGAAGGUGAUUUUCAUCAUUUUUAUUUAUACGGUAAUGAGGGCAACUUUGUUUUUUUUUGUACUGGGGAUUGAUCCCAAGGGUGCUGCUCUACCACUGAUUAUAUCCCUAAUCCUUUCUUUUUUUUUUUUUUUUUUUUGAGACAGGGUCUUGCUGAGUUGCUCAGGCUGGCCUUGAACUUGUUAUCUUCCUGCCUCAGCAUCCUGAAUUGCUGAGAUUACAGGCAGUGCCACUGUGUCUGGCGAGAUUGACAUUCCUUAAUGUUCAUGUUUGUUUAUUUUUAAUUUUGUUGGAUAAAAUAUUUUUCUUUUAAUAGUUACAUAUUUAUGAGGGUGAAAUCAUAAAAGGUUUUUUAAAAUCAGCUCUAAUAGUGUCUCUGGCUUUCCUGUUCUUCCUGUAUUCUUUUUUUAAAAAAAAAAUAUUUACUUUUUAGUUUUAGGUGGACACAAUGUCUUUAUUUUAGAUUCAUGUGGUGCUAAGGAUCUAACCCAGUGCCUUGCAUGCUAGGCGAGCACUGUACCACUGAGCCACGACCCAGCCCUCUUCCUAAAUCUUUAUGGGCAAGUAGAUAUAUUCCAUGUACCUUAUUAUCUGAUAUUUGGAAAGAUAGUUUGCUACUUACAACCCAUAAUGCCUUAGUUAGUAGCUUAUCAGAUUCCUCCAUUUUGAACCAGUCAUCUGACUGUACAAGAGAAGUACCUUUUAAUUUAUUUGCUUCAGGGACAGAGGGAGACAGUAAAGAUGAGAUGACCCUUUAGAAUCUAGAUUUCUCUCUAAUUCCUAUAACAAAUACUUUUUAUAGGGAUGAUAUUUGACUUUAUUUCAGACGCAGACAUCGGUCAAGCAGUAGCUCUUCUUACGGCUCUAGAAGAAAAAGAAGUAGAAGUCGUUCAAGGGGUCGAGGGAAAUCUUACAGAAUCCAGAGAUCUAGAUCAAAAAGCAGAACAAGAAGGUAUAUUUUAUUGCUGUUCCCAAAUCAAUGAC
rnacentral:lncRNA from 1 species